CGGUGGGUAAUCUCGCCCUGCACUCGUGGGAUAAGCCGUAGGGAAACGUGGGUCUAAUACUGGAUAUGACCUUUCUCCUUAUGGGGUUUGGUGGAAAGUUUUUCGGUGUAGGAUGAGCCCGCGGCCUAUCAGCUUGUUGGUGGGGUGAUGGCCUACCAAGGCGACGACGGGUAGCCGGCCUGAGAGGGUGAUCGGCCACAUUGGGACUGAGAUACGGCCCAG
rnacentral:rRNA from 1 species